UACGUAGGGGGCAAGCGUUGUCCGGAUUUAUUGGGCGUAAAGCGCACGCAGGCGGUCUCUUAAGUUUCGAGUGACAGGUCAGGGCUUAACCCUGGCAGGCCUUGGAAAACUGGGGGACUUGAGGGCUUCAGAGGGACGCGGAAUUCCAGGUGGAGCGGUGAAAUGCGCAGAUAUCAGGAAGAACACCUAUGGCGAAGGCAGCACUCUGGGACGGUACUGACGCUGAGACGCGAAAAGCGUGGGGAGCGAACAGG
rnacentral:rRNA from 1 species